GGAGGAAGGAGACCGCAGGACAAAAACCAUAGACACACAAGUGCCUACGAGUGCGCACGCGCGCAAGGAAACGCAUGCGAUUGAGCUUUCUUUUUUUUCCCCUUCUCGGCUUUGGCGGACUACUUCCCGAAGACUUUCUUAAGGGUAUCCUUGCCCUUGAUUAAUGAACAUUUUGAUGACUUGUCAUUACGUGAACGAUAAAAUGCGAAUAUCAAUCAGCACUUAAAUAAUACACGCCGGUUAAAAUCAAAAGGGCGAUUUUUAAAAAUUCGUUACUUUUUCCAUUCUUACAAUUUAAAAACGUCAGAACGAAUGUUGUAAUCCUGUGGGACGGUUGGAAAUGGACCCAUUGCUGACCAGUGGGGGUUGCUCCCAGUUCUGUCUGGUUCUUUAGAACCAGUAGUAAAAGUGGCAGGAGGCUCCGCCCACCCACCCAGAUAUUAUAAUUGACGAUCUGCGCAUGUACAGAAGCGCGCAUGCGCUCCUAUUGCAAACCGGUACUAAAGAACCAACUAUUACCAGGAAAGGAAUCAGCAGUCAAGAAAUAUGCUGCAGACCUGCACUUUGCAAAGUAGCAGUGAAGACCUUGGAGAAGAUAUUCAAAUGCCAUGAUGCUUACAAAUAUCAGAAUUGUGCAGACAAUGCUUUUCCUUGUGACACUCUAUGGAAGCAAAAGUUGGACUUUGAAAAAGCAGAAUAGAAAGAACUUUGAUGCUUUUGAACAUUAGUACUGAAGAAGACUCUUUAGAAUAUCUUGGAUAGAUAAGAAAAUAAACAAAACGGAUCAUCAAACUAA